CUAAAUAUCUGAGAAACUCUUCAGAAAUUUUCACAAUGGACAAUCCAUCAUUGUAUGUGUAUCAUUGACUGGACGAAUGCAUGUUCAUUAAACAAAAAGAAUGCGUGAUUGAUACGUAUGUGAACGCAUGGUUGAUCGAUAAUGCAAGAAUGUGUUCCGAGAAUGACUUUUCCGCACUUUUUCUGCAUCAUAUUUUUCUGCAAUGGUUUUUUUUAACGAAUGAAAACGACCAAAAGUACGAUCGUGAUUCUUCCCCAACCAAAGAAUUCGAGCGGAAAAAUGGCUGCGUAACAAAAUAAAACGACGAAUGACUCGACCACUCGCCAGACGAAUUAACGUUUAACAGCCGGUCGCAUAAUCGGGUCGCCAGACACCAAACAAGAAGUCGUGUAUCCAACCUUCAUCGAUAAUCGUUCGUCUGCACAAGAUUUGAUCAAAAUACGAAUCCUUGCCGAAGAAUCUCGAUCGCAAACUGUUGAACGGAAAAAUGCCAAGAGGAGGCGCACUUAAACAGGAAGCACAUGUAACUGAAGAGAACAAUAAAAAAAAGGUUGGCAGGCAUGCGAAACAAACGAUGAGAAAGAACAUGAACAAGCGAAAUAAACUUUCCCAAUGCAUAUCUGGCAAUUGGAAUUUUCUUUUGACAAAAAGCCGUUAUAAAAACCAAUAUGCAGUUGAUAAUUUGCAAUCACCAAUUAUAACUACAUCAAAUUUUCUAUUAAUUUUAUUACUAAUUAAAAAUUAAUUCUAUAAUACAAUAAUAAUAAUAAUUUCAAUAAUAAUUUCAGUUAUUUGUUAAUAAAUUUUUCAUAAUAGAAUUUUUGAGGUUACAGAAUGAUGAAUUCUUGGGAUAUGUUCAAACUUUUGAUUGAUAAAAUUGUCGUAUUCUUCUGCAUUCUUUAAAGACUCAUGGAAUCAUGCAUCUUUGUGUUAUCGGUUAACUGGCUUCUUUUUUUCGAUGAUAUAAAUACUGUAGUUUCUUUGAGACUCAGAACUUACAAAAGAAUGGAUUACGAAAGAGUAAUGGCAUUACAUCUAUCGCAAGUACAUAAUGAACUUGAUCCUAUUACUAGUUAAAAGAAUUCUACGUGCAGGUGUCUCUCAAGUCGCGACAACGACUUUCUAUUUAAGUCUGUUUGGAAACUUCCUGGGCCUUUUGGUUAACAAAGCUAUUUGAAGAAUAAUUUUUUUUUUAAAAAAUUUACACUGACAAAAGAAAAAUUUUCUUUCUUUGAUAUGAGAUGUUAAAAAUAGUUUCAUAAGAAACCUACUACAUACUUUCAUAAACUUCAAUACUUUAGUUAUGGAACAGAAUACAUAUAAUUCUUAAUUUAUACAACUUUGACACAUUUCUUUAUUCUUUGUAUAAAUGCCGUUGCUCUAUUGUAAUCGAAGUAAACACCGUUACU